rnacentral:rRNA from 1 species
ACGGAAGGCAGCAGUGGGGAAUAUUGCACAAUGGGGGAAACCCUGAUGCAGCGACGCCGCGUGAGUGAAGAAGUAUUUCGGUAUGUAAAGCUCUAUCAGCAGGGAAGAAAAUGACGGUACCUGACUAAGAAGCCCCGGCUAACUACGUGCCAGCAGCCGCGGUAAUACGUAGGGGGCAAGCGUUAUCCGGAUUUACUGGGCGUAAAGGGAGCGCAGACGGCAAAGCAAGUCUGAAGUGAAAGCCCGGGGCUCAACCCCGGGACUGCUUUGGAAACUGUUUAGCUAGAGUACUGGAGAGGUAAGCGGAAUUCCUAGUGUAGCGGUGAAAUGCGUAGAUAUUAGGAAGAACACCAGUGGCGAAGGCGGCUUACUGGACUGUAACUGACGUUGAGGCUCGAAAGCGUGGGGAGCAAACAGGAUUAGAUACCCUGGUA